AAAGGAAUAGACGGGGGCCCGCACAAGCGGAGGAACAUGUGGUUUAAUUCGAUGAUACGCGAGGAACCUUACCCGGGCUUGAAAUGCAGAUGAUCGAAGUGGAGACACUUUUUCCAGCGAUGGCGUCUGUGUAGGUGCUGCAUGGUUGUCGUCAGCUCGUGCCGUGAGGUGUCGGCUUAAGUGCCAUAACGAGCGCAACCCUCAUUACUAGUUACCAUCAGGUCUAGCUGGGGACUCUAGUGAGACUGCCGGCGUAAGCUGUGAGGAAGGUGGGGAUGACGUCAAAUCAGCACGGCCCUUAUGUCCGGGGCGACACACGUGUUACAAUGGGGAGUACAGCGGGAAGCUACCUGGCGACAGGAUGCCAAUCUUUUAAAACUCUUCUCAGUUCGGAUCGGAGUCUGCAACUCGACUUCGUGAAGCUGGAUUCGCUAGUAAUCGCGCAUCAGCCACGGCGCGGUGAAUACGUUCCCGGGCCUUGUACACACCGCCCGU
rnacentral:rRNA from 1 species